rnacentral:rRNA from 1 species
GAAUUCGCCCUUAGAGUUUGAUCCUGGCUCAAGAUGAACGCCGGCGGCGUGCCUAACACAUGCAAGUCGAACGGAGCACUGAGACUUCGGUUUUUGUGCUUAGUGGCGGACGGGUGAGUAACGCGUGAGCAAUCUGCCUUUCAGAGGGGAGAUAACGACUGGAAACGGUCGCUAAUACCGCAUAACGUAUUUUGCAGGCAUCUGCGAGAUACCAAAGGAGCAAUCCGCAGAAAGAUGAGCUCGCGUCUGAUUAGAUAGUUGGUGAGGUAACGGCCCACCAAGUCAACGAUCAGUAGCCGGACUGAGAGGUUGAACGGCCACAUUGGGACUGACACACGGCCCACACUCCUACGGGAGGCAGCAGUGGGGAAUAUUGCGCAAUGGGGGAAACCCUGACGCAGCAACGCCGCGUGAUCGAAGAAGGUCUUCGGAUUGUAAAGAUCUUUUAUCAGGGACGAAGAAAGUGACGGUACCUGAUGAAUAACCUCCGGCUAACUACGUGCCAGCAGCCGCGGAAAUACGUAGGGAGCGAGCGUUUUCCGGAUUUACUGGGUGAAAAGGGCAAGUAGGCGGGCUGGUAAGUGGGAAGUGAAAUGUCGGGGCUUAACCCCGGAACUGCUUUUCAAAACUGGUGGGUCUGGAGAGAAGGAGAGGCAGGCGAAAUUCCUAGUGGAGCGGGGAAAUGCGUAAAAUAUUAAAAAGAACCCCCGGGGCGAAAGGGG